UUAGAUCGAUGUGGUGCUCC
rnacentral:miRNA from 1 species